rnacentral:rRNA from 1 species
UACGAAGGGGGCUAGCGUUGUUCGGAAUCACUGGGCGUAAAGCGCACGUAGGCGGCUAUCUAAGUCGGAUGUGAAAUCCCUCGGCUUAACCAAGGAAGUGCACCCGAAACUGGAUAGCUUGAGUACAGAAGAGGAUCGCGGAAUUCCCGGUGUAGAGGUGAAAUUCGUAGAUAUCGGGAGGAACACCAGUGGCGAAGGCGGCGAUCUGGGUUGAUACUGACGCUGAGGUGCGAAAGCGUGGGGAGCAAACAGG